rnacentral:rRNA from 1 species
UGCAAGUCGAACGGUAGCACAGAGAGCUUGCUCUCGGGUGACGAGUGGCGGACGGGUGAGUAAUGUCUGGGAAACUGCCUGAUGGAGGGGGAUAACUACUGGAAACGGUAGCUAAUACCGCAUAACGUCGCAAGACCAAAGAGGGGGACCUUCGGGCCUCUUGCCAUCAGAUGUGCCCAGAUGGGAUUAGCUAGUAGGUGGGGUAACGGCUCACCUAGGCGACGAUCCCUAGCUGGUCUGAGAGGAUGACCAGCCACACUGGAACUGAGACACGGUCCAGACUCCUACGGGAGGCAGCAGUGGGGAAUAUUGCACAAUGGGCGCAAGCCUGAUGCAGCCAUGCCGCGUGUAUGAAGAAGGCCUUCGGGUUGUAAAGUACUUUCAGCGGGGAGGAAGGUGUUGUGGUUAAUAACCGCAGCAAUUGACGUUACCCGCAGAAGAAGCACCGGCUAACUCCGUGCCAGCAGCCGCGGUAAUACGGAGGGUGCAAGCGUUAAUCGGAAUUACUGGGCGUAAAGCGCACGCAGGCGGUCUGUCAAGUCGGAUGUGAAAUCCCCGGGCUCAACCUGGGAACUGCAUUCGAAACUGGCAGGCUAGAGUCUUGUAGAGGGGGGUAGAAUUCCAGGUGUAGCGGUGAAAUGCGUAGAGAUCUGGAGGAAUA